rnacentral:rRNA from 1 species
UACGGAUGGUGCGAGCGUUGUUCGGAAUCACUGGGCGUAAAGGGCGCGUAGGCGGCACUGUAAGUCAGAUGUGAAAGCCCAGGGCUCAACCCUGGACGUGCAUCUGAAACUGCAGAGCUAGAGUACUGGAGGGGAAAGUGGAAUUCCCGGUGUAGAGGUGAAAUUCGUAGAGAUCGGGAGGAAUACCGGUGGCGAAGGCGACUUUCUGGACAGAUACUGACGCUGAGGCGCGAAAGCGUGGGGAGCAAACAGG